rnacentral:tRNA from 1 species
CAAAAAGUAUUUUAGUUAAGAAUACUAGCUUUGGGAGUUAGUGGUGGGAGUUAGAUUCUCUCCUUUUUGA